rnacentral:lncRNA from 1 species
GAUUUUUUGUAGGAAAAAAGAUUGAGCUACAUAUUUGACCUCAAAGCAGAGAGAGUUAAUCAUUUUGAUGAGGUACAUAUGGUAAGCCUUCAUCAACAACUGUCACAUUGUUCUUUAUGAUAAUUUGUGUUUUCUUUUAGUUCAUUCUUAUACAAUUCCUUUAAUAUCGAAAUUAAAAAACAAAGUACAUAAUUUAUUGAGUUGGCUGUUGUAACAUAUAGUUAUGACAUUAUUCAUGUUCCAAAAUAAUGGAAAGCCAAUCCAAGAUGAUUGAUCUAUAUGUUCAAGAUGCUUGAAAGGAGUGUCAUGAGUCUUUUUAUGGUACCAUUUGCAUAUUAGUGUAAGAGUUAUUAUUCUUAAACUAACUUUUUUCUUCUUUUUUUAUUUUUGCGGAAUUAUAGGUGAGAAUCAAGUUUAAUCGAACUAUCCUUGGGACUGAUUUUUACUGGAAGAUAACCUCAUAUUUCAUAAUGUCAUUCAUUGUUGGCAUACAAAAGCUCAAUCAUUAAACAACUUAUGAAAUAAAAGGGUGGUCGAUUAAGAGAGGAAGAAUGGAUUCAAAAGUUGAUCUCCACUUCCCACGCUUUUGAAGGCUUCAAUCAUGACUCAAAGAACAAGUUGGUUUAUUUAAAGGUUUUGGAAUCUCCUUGCAUGUUGUGGAAGUGUAUUUAGCUUCUAAAUAAAAGUAGAAUUCAAAUCCAGUAUCAACUUUCAAUUACUACAAAUUGCCACUCAAAUCUCCUUACAACCUUUCUAUUAGUUGUUUCUUUAUGCUUCUUCAAUGAUACUAUUAACAUUAUUUUAUGUUACUUUUGAUGGAAUCAUUUUCUAAUAUUUGUCUAUUUGGAUAUUGUAAUUUUUGGAUGAAACAUGAGUUGUUUCUUCUACUCUUCUACUCUAUUGUACUUCAUCUUUCUUACAUGGGCAUGCCCAAGAUUCUUGUGAAUCAUGUAAAUUUAGUGAUUGUUGCUUAUAUUUGAUAUUAAGAUUUGUUUAUAAUUCUUUUUUUAAUAUUUAUUUUAUUUACUUUCUAAUACUUUGUUUUUAUUGGGGGCUUCUCUCAGGUUUGUGAUCAAAGUGAGAUGCAUGAAAUUUUAAAAUCCAAAUUAGGAAAGAAAUCAGUCUUCUAUAAUAUAUAUUGCAAUGAGAAACUAUGUUCUUUAAAGCUUUGGUACAACAUUAUUUUUUUCAAGGAAAAUUUUGAAAUUUUGUGUUUUAGAACUUAUUUUUAGAAAAUGUGAAAAACAUAAUAAAAAUGUUUGGACUAUAAUUCAAGAGGGUUGUAGUUAAUCUAAGUCUAACUUAAUCUCUUUUUUUAAAAAAAAAAAUAGGUUUAUCAAGUUGUCCAGGGUAAAAAUCUACAUUUUUUUUAACUUUAUUUAAUAUAUUUAUAUUAAAAUUAAAAUAAUUAAUGAGACUAUUUCAAGAUAAUAAUUAAAAAAUUAAAAAAUAAAUUUAUAUGUCUUUUUAGAAAAAUGAGAUAAGAGUAAUUACAAUUUAAUAUUUUUUUCCUAUAAAAUUAAAAAAUAAAUCAAAUGAAUAUUAUUAGUGUUGAGUUAUGUAAAACCUAAUUAUACCAUACACUUUCACCAUAACAAUGACCAACCUUCGUGGUGCUAAGGUUAGUGAGUGUGGGGGUUCCAGACAUAAACCCCAAUAGGUUGAGAUUAGGUUGUGGCCACAUGGAAAAUUGUAUAGUAUCAUUAGGUUACACUCAAUUUAAUAAACCUAAUCUUAUUUUUCUAAACUUAGGUUGAAAUUAAAUUAGUUAGAAUAUAUUCAAGGUGGUCGAAUUAAUUAAGUCAUGUAAUUCGUAAUCCAUUCAUAAUGUUUUUUUUCUUAUAUAUUUAUACCAAAAUCUAAAUAGUAAGUUGGAUACAAUUACGAUCCAAUAACAAAAAUGUAAAAAGAAAUUUAUAUAUCCUUAUAAAAAAUUAAAAAGUUAUAUAAUAGAAUUAUAAUUUGAUAUUUUUUUUCUUAAAAAUAAAAAAGAGAAUAAAUAAAAUGAACACUUUUAAUGUAAGAUUAUAUAAAUUAUAAAUAAUAUAAAAUUAUUAAAUUAGAUUCAUCAUCCAAACCUUAGUAUGAGUGUAACUCAAAUUAAGUUCAAAUCGAAAAAAACUUUACCUAAACUCAACAACUUUAAAAAUGAUUAUCUGCACCCGUCUAAAAGUAGGAUUUUUUUAGAGUCCUAUUUCUCUAUUUUUAACUUAAUUUUAUUUUUUUUCAACGGAAUUAUAGAUAAGGAUCAAGUUUAAUCAAACUAUCCUUGGGAUUGGCUUUUACUGGAAAACAACCUCAUACUUCAUAAUGGCAUUCAUUGUUGACACACAAAAGCUUAAUCAUUAAACAAUUUAUGAAAUAAGAGAAUGGUUGAUUAAAAGAUGAAGAAUGGAUUCAAAAAUUGAUCUCCACUUCUGGCACUUUUGGAAGCUUCAAUCAUGCCUCAACGAACCAUUUGGUUUAUUUAAAGCUUUUGGAAUCUCCUUGCAUGUUGUGGAAGUGUAUUUAGCUUCUAAAUAGAAGUAGAAUUCAAAUCCAGUAUCAACUUUCAAUUACUACAAAUUGCCACUCAAAUCUCCUUACAACAUUUCUAUUAGUUGUUCUUUUAUGUUUCUUCAAUGAUACAAUUAGCAUAAUUUUAUGUUACUUUGAUGGAAUCAUUUUCUAAUAUUUGUCUAUUUGGAGAUUGUAAUUUUUGGAUGAAACUUGAAUCUUUUCUUCUAUUCUUCUACUCUAUUGUACUUCAUCUUUCUUACAUGCAUGCCCAAGAUUCUUGAAAAUCAUGUCAAUUUAGUGUUUGUUGUUUGUAUUUGAUAUUAAUAUUUGUUUAAAAUUCUUGUUUUUAAUAUUUAUUUUCUAAUACUUGGUUUGUUUUUGUUUUUAUAAGGGGCUUCUCUCAUGUUUGUGAUCAAAGUGAGAUGUAUGAAUUUGAAAAUCCAAAUUAGAAAAGAAAAUCAAUCUUCUACAAUAUAUAUAGCAAUGAGAAACUAUUUUCUUUAAGGGAGAAUUAUGUUUUGGGGGUAGAUGGACCCCCAAAUUAACAAAAGGUCCAUGUAACUCUUCAAAUUGAGCCCAAGACCCAAUGAAAGUAUGGAAAUUGAGUUGAAGGAUAUCAUCCUUCAGUAUUUCCAAAAAUACCAUUUGUUAAUUUUGAGAAAAAAAAUUAAUAUUUUUUAAAAAUACUUUUAUUUAAUUUAAUAUUUUUUAUUUAAUUUAAUAUUUUUAAAAAAUACUUUUAUGUAAUUUAAUAUUUUUUAAAAUAAUUUUAUUUAAUUUAAUAUUUUUAAAAAAAAAUUUAAUUUAAUAUUUUUGAAAAAAAAUUAUUUAAUUUAAUAUUUUUGAAAACUACUUUUAUUUAAUUUAGUAUUUUUGAAAAAAAAAUUAUUGAAAAAAAAUUAUUUAACUUAAUUUUAUAAAAUAUUUUAUAUGUGUUCUUAAAGGGUAUAUUUGUCCGUUACUAUUUCAUAUCCUUCAACUCAAUUUGAAGAGUUAUAUGGGCAUUUUGUUAAUUUGGAGGUCCAUCUACCCCCAAAAAUAAUUCUCCCUUUCUUUAAAGCUUUGGUACAACACUUUCUUUUUUUUUGGAAAUUUUUUAAAUUUAGUGUUUUAGAACUUAUUUUUAGAAAAUGUAAAAAAACAUAGUAAAAAUGUUAGGGCUAUAAUUUGAUAGGGUUAUAGUCAAUCUAAGUCUAAUUCAAUCGCAUUUUUUUAAAACAAGUUUAUCAAGUUGUUAGCAAUGAAAAUCUACAUUCUUUUUUAACUUUAUUUGAUAUAUUUAUGUUAAAAUUUAAAUAAUUAAUGAGACUAUUUCAAGAUAAUAAUUAAACAUAAAAAAUAAAUUUUUAUAUCUUUCUAGAAAAAUGAAAUAAAGUAAUUAUAAUUUAAUAUUUUUUCCUUAUUAUUAAAUAAAUUAAUUAAUUAAAUAUUAUUAGUGUUGAGUUAUGUGAAGCCUAAUUAUACUACACACUUUUCACCAUAACAAUCGACUGACCUUCAUGGUGUUAAGGUCGACAUGUGUGGGGGUUUGAGGCAUAAGCCCCAAAAGAUUGAGAUUAGGUUGUAAUAGUAGAGAAAAGUUUAUAGUAUGAUUAGGCUCCACAUAAUUUAACAUAAUCUAAUUUUAUUUUUCUAAACUUAGGUUAAGAUUAGAUUGGUUGGAUUAUAUUUGGUUUGGUCAAAUUGAUCGAGUCUUAUAAUUCAUAAUCCAUUAGCAAUGGUUUUUUAUUUAUUAAUUUUUGUUUAUUUAUACCAAAAUAUAAAUUGUAAGUUGGAUACAAUGUCAAAAUAAUAACAAAAAUGUAAAAAUAAAUUUAAAUAUCUUUAUAAAAAAAGGUUAUAUAAUAGAAUUAUAUUUGAUAUUUUUUUCUCAAAAAUAAAAAGAGAGAAUAAAUAAAAUAAAUACUUUUAAUAAUAAAUUAUUAUUAUUAUUAUUAUUAUUAUUAUUAUUAUUAUUACAAACUUAAUUCAAUUGCACUCAACAUGAUUAAGCCUUUUUAUUUUCAUUUUUUAAAAUAAUAAAUCGUUUUCACUUUAAUUUUCAAGCAAAGAUUACAAAAUUUGAACACCAUUAUAAGCAAUUUUUAUUUAACCCUUCAAUAAGAAAGAAAAUUAAUCUAACAAUUUUUAAGAAAGCUUAUUUAUGAACUUCUCAAAUUAAUUUUUAUUAUAUUCUUCUUCCAAUCUAAACCAGCUAAUAGAUGCCCUUUUAUCCAUAUAAUAUUUUACAUGAGAUGUUCUUCUUGAUGCUGAGGAGCAGCAGGGCCAAAGCCAUGAAUUGCAGCAAGGAGGAAUAGCAAGGCAGGUAGGUGACUUUAUUGUGGGUAUUGGGGGGUUUAGGCAAGACCACCCUGAUGCAUGAAAUUUUAAAAUAGAAAUUAGGCAAGAAAAUUUAGUCUCCGGCAAUAUAUAUAGCAAUGAGACACAUAGAUGGUUGUCUGGGGUUUCUGGUUUGUAGAGAGAGAAAGGGAGGUUUAUAGAGAGAGAAGAUCGACUAGGUUGGGGUUUGAAAUUGAAUUUUGGGCAGGAUCCAAAACAGAUGGUAGAGAUUGGAUCCUGGGGAUCUGACAAUGGAGUUUGGAGUUUGAAUUUGUCAUAGGCUAUAACACACUGGCAAUGUUAAAGCCCAAAUUUAAUGGGCUGGGAUAUGUACUUCUCACUUUUGGGCUUUGGUCCAACAGCCCAACUUCUUUUAUUUUUUAAAAAUUAAUUAAAUACGUGAUUAAACAUAUCCUUUUUUUUUUUUAUCUAUUUGAUUAAUGGGAUAUAAUAUAAUUCAUGGUUUGGGAUCUUUGGUGCUUAUCAAAUUUUGUUCUUGGAUUUUUUUUAAAGUGGGACAAGUAAGUACAUACUUUUUACUUGAGGGGUAACUAGCAACUUUUCCAUAAUUAAAUUUUACAUGACUAUAAUAUAUUUAUUGGAAAUAAUUUUUUCUCCCUAAAAUUUUUUAUUUAAUUGCUACAAAAUAAUUUUAAUUAUUGAAAUUAUUUUAUUGUUACUCUAAUUAAAUUACGGUGGGCUUUGGGUUUGGGUUUUGGACAAACCUAAGGCCAACUUAAACCUAAUAUAUAUUUUACAUAAAUUUCAAACUAUACGUAUAUGAUAGUUUUGUUAUUUUGAGUGUCAUAAGGGAAUGAUAAGAAGCUGAGCUUGAAUUGGAUAGCUUGGAUUGGAUUCGACAAAUGAUAAGAAGUCGAGAUUCACUUUCUUUUCCUUUUUCUAAUAUAUUUCUUUCACUUUUCCUUUUUAGUUUUUUUAAUAAAAUUUCAUCCUACCCCACUUUCAAAAAUAAAAAGUUAAAAAAUGACUGGCUUGAGACUGUUCAAAAUCUAAUUUUUUUUUUUUAAAGGUGAGGAAGAUGAGUUAUGCUUUCUUUGUACAAGCCCACUCUUCACGUAGUUCCUUUUAUGAUAUACUAUCUAAUACUUUUUUCAUUAGUUUCCAUCUCCAUUAUCUUAAAAAUUCAAAUACAAAUUAUCAAAUUUACAAAAGGUAUAAACAAUUGUGAAAUAAUAAGAUGUUACCAAUGCUACAACAAUAUCCACAAUGAUAAUACUUCGAGUACUAUAAAUUUAUUAGCUUUAAUUUUUUUGUUCUUUUUAAUUUGUAAAGAAAUGCGGUGAUAUUAUACAAGUCUUUUUGUAAGGUGACUAAGGUUUUUCACACAUGAAACUAUACCAUAAAUGUAUAAACUAUUUAAAUAUAAAAAUUAAGGAUUAUGUUAAGUUCUUGGAUAUUACUAAGAAAUUGACAAAAAAAAAAUAGUUAGAAAAAUGAUUAAUUUUUUUAUAUCUGCAUGUUAUAGAAAAAUAUGAUGAAAACAUAUUAAGAAAAAUAGGAGAAAAUUGCUAAAAGUUUUCCCGACCUUUUUCCUUAUAUAAAGGUGAGUAAAACUUGAUGAAAGUGUAUUUCUUAAAAUUUUAAUUUUUUAUUUUUCUCUCAACUUUUUCAUGAAUAUGUUAUUAACAUAAAAAAAAAUAUAGUAAAAGGAAAAUAUGAUUUUACAAAAUUUAUCCAAAGUAAAAAAAUAAACGAUGCAUAAUAAUUUUCUUUUUUCCUGGCUUUAUUCUUACAAUUUACUUUUGAUGGAAGUAAAUUAUUUUGCGUCAACUCAAAUUCAGCCUUUUCAAAAAGUAAUGGGAAUCCAAUGAAUUUUUUCAAAUUCAUUUUAAUUUAUGACCCACCAUGUGAAGGAGUAAUCAUUUUCUAGGUGAUAGGAUUCCAAAUCAAUUAUUUCAAAUUCACAUUGCUUUAUAGCCCACUUUUUCAAAAGUUGCUAUCAUCAUUUCCUUGCAGGCUCUUUGCCCUGUCUCCCACUAAUUCCUUGGGAAAGAACAAGACUUCUUUCUUCCAAGCAUGCAAAUUCCAAAAUGAUAUUAUCUACUAUUUUAAAUCUAAGAACCCUACCUAUAUAUAUGUGAUGGGAUCCACUACUUUUCAAGCAGGCUCCCAACUUCCAUGGAAACUCUAGGGCCUCUCGACAUCUUUCUAUACAUUUAUUUAUUUUUUAAAACUAUUAUUUUCAUAACAUUGCUUUAAAGAAGUUGUUUUUUUUUCCAUAUUUUUCUAAAAUAAUAGUAAAAAAGUUUUGAUAUACUAUCUAAUACUUUUUUCAUUAGUUUCCAUCUCCACUAUCUUAAAAAUUCAAAUACAAAUUAUCAAAUUUACAAAAGGUAUAAACAAUUGUGAAAUAAUAUGUUACCAAUAUCCACAAUGAUAAUACUUCAAGUACUAUAAAUUUAUUAGCUUUGAUUUUUUUUCUUUUUAAUUUGUAAAUAAAUGUGGUGAUAUUAUACAAGUCUUUUUGUAACGCGACCCCCUUCUCGCGGUUAAGGUAACGACUUCGGGCAUGGCCAGCUCCCAUAGUGUGACGGGCGGUGUGUACAAGGCCCGGGAACGAAUUCACCGUUGUAUGGCUGAUCGACGAUUACUAGCAAUUCCGGCUUCAUGCAGGCGAGUUGCAGCCUGCAAUCCGAACUGAGGACGGGUUUGAAUUCCCGAUAGAAAGAGAUUUCGCGAACGCAAAAGCCUUUAAUGCGGCCCGUCAUCCCUUCCUUUUGGAAAGCUUUCCAUUCUUCCAAGUGAUGAAGCAAGGGAAGGCAGUAGUGGGGAAUUUUCCGCAAUGGGCGAAAGCCUGACGGAGGAAUGCCGCGUGGAGGUAGAAGGCCCACAGGUCGUGAUUAGGAUCAGAAUGACAAAUACAAUAGAUUUUAAACUAUACCAUAAAUGUAUAAACUAUUUAAAUAUAAAAAUUAAGGAUUAUGUUAAGUUCUUGGAUAUUACUAAGAAAUUGACAAAAAAAAUUGUUAGAAAAAUGAUUAAUUUUUUUAUAUCUGCAUGUUAUAGAAAAAUAUGGUGAAAACAUAUUAAGAAAAAUAGGAGAAAAUUGCUAAAAGUUUUCCUGACUUUUUUCCUUAUAUAAAGGUGAGUAAAACUUGAUGAAAGUGUAUUUCUUAAAAUUUUAAUUUUUUAUUUUUCUCUCAACUUUUUCAUGAAUAUGCUAUUAACAUAAAAAAAAAAUAUAGUAAAAGGAAAAUAUGAUUUUACAAAAUUUAUCCAAAGUAAAAAAAUAAACGGUGCAUAACAAUUUUCUUUUUUCUUGGCUUUAUUCUUAUAAUUUACUUUUGAUGGAAGUAAAUUAUUUUGGGUCAACUCAAAUUCAGCCUUUUCAAAAAGUAAUGGGAAUCCAAUGAAUUUUUUCAAAUUCAUUUUAAUUUAUAACCCACCAUGUGAAGGAGUAAUCAUUUUCUAGGUGAUAGGAUUCCAAAUCAAUUAUUUCAAAUUCACAUUGCUUUAUAGCCCACUUUUUCAAAAGUUGCUAUCAUCAUUUCCUUGCAGGCUCUUUGCCCUGUCUCCCACUAAUUCCUUUGGAAAGAACAAGACUUCUUUCUUCCAAGCAUGCAAAUUCCAAAAUGAUAUUAUCUACUAUUUUAAAUCUAAGAACCCUACCUAUAUAUAUGUGAUGGGAUCCACUACUUUUCAAGCAGGCUCCCAACUUCCAUGGAAACUCUAGGGCCUCUCGACAUCUUUUUAUACAUUUAUUUAUUUUUUAAAACUAUUAUUUUCAUAACAUUGCUUUAAAGAAGUUUUUUUUUUUCCAUAUUUUUCUAAAAUAAUAGUAAAAAAGUUUUGAAAAUUAAUUUCCUUUUUCUCACUUUUUUUUCAAUGGAUAUCUAGACAAAAGAAAUUUUUUUUAUAAAUUUUUCUUCUCCUUUUCUUUUAUUUUUAAAAUUUUUUACUUUAUUUUUAUUUUUUUCUAACUUUCUGAAAAUUGUUAUAUAAGCAGCCAAACAAGACUUCUUCCUUCCAAGCACGCAGACCAUAUUCCACAAUAAUAUGAUAUAUUAUAGGAAACUUCUAUGGUGCUGAGGGAGGUACCAUACCUCAGAUUUUUUAUAGUCGUUGGAUGCAAGAGUUUAAAUCUCAGCCAUUGAAAAGAAAAAGAAAAAAAGGAAAAAGGAAAACUGGCUACCUGUUGUCUCCCCCUCUCAGGCCAUUUUCCCGUUUGUUCCCUCUUUCCCGUUUGUUCCCUCUCUUCCCUCAUUUUCUACCUGUUCUCUCCCCCUCUUAGCCCCUCUCUCUUCUCCUCCAUAGUCGAGCGUCUUCUCCUCUAGCUGUGUCUCGUGCUCUCGUCUCCAGCUGUGUCUCGUGCUCUCAUCUCCACACUCCUCCAUAGCCGAGCGUCUUCAGCCCCUCUCUUCUCCUCCAUAGCCGAGCAUCUUCUCCUCCAGCCGUGUCUCGUGCUCUCAUCUCCAGCUGUGUCUCGUGCUCUCAUCCCCACACUCCUCCAUAGGCGGCCGUCUUGUCCUCCAUAGUCGGUUGUGUCCCCGUGCUCUGAUCUCCACUCAUUCUCGACAGCCGAGUCUAGAAAUCCUAUCUUCGGAAGAAACGCAAGAGGCAAAUGCGAGACAAUGAAGAAAUGAGGGAAAGAAAGCACUGAAGAAGGAGAUAGAGACCCCUCUCACGAUUAAUCUUCAGUCGAGUUUCUGUUUUCUCCAUUUUUUAUCGAGUUUGCCGAUAUUUUCCUCUCUUCUCCAUACUCGACUCUUCUCAGGUAUCUCCAUCGACUGUUAUUUUCAGGUGCUUUAAGUUGUCUUUGUGUAUUGUUGGAUGUUUUUGUGUUAUUGGGUGUUUUCGGGUAAGAUAUUGUAGCUGUUCCGGGGGACAUCUUUUUGAGUUCUGGCUUUUUUAGUAUCCCCUUUGAUUAUGUCCAUAUUUAGUUUUCAUAUUUGGGGUUUUUUCGGGUUUUGAAGUAAAGAGUACGAUAUUCCCGCUCCCUCCCUCCUAUCCAUAACCCUUGUAUUUUGUUCAUAUUUUAUAUUUUGUUUAAGGGGUGUUUUUGGCUUUUAAAUUUCCUGGUUUGAAGACCCGAAUUGAAGACAUAGCUGGAAGAAAAAGAAGAAAAAAUGUGAGUAUUGAUAAUGUGUUUUACAAUAUUAUAGCCAUUAUAUUUCAUGCUUUUUGUGAGAUUUAUAGAUUGAUGACAUUAAUGAAAAUAAUGUGGUUAGAUCCAUAAUUGUAGAUUGAAAAAGAUUGAUAUGCUAAAUUUGUGACCAUUUAAAAUGUACAUAGAUUUAGGGAAGAUUUUGUAGUGGUGGUGAAAGUAUGUUUGAUUUAUUAUAUUUGAAAUCAUAUUAUAAAAAUUGACUUAAAUGCUUUGAUUUAAUUUUUAGGAGCGAACGCGAUGGACUUGAAGUUGUUAGAAAUCCAAAGAGGCCUAUCGGCGCUUGGAUACAUUACUAGUAAGGGAAAAUAGAAAUAUGUAAAAUAAUAUGUUUUUUAAUGUAUUUUUUGUGGUUGUUAUUGUUAAAUUUGUUUGAAAUUGUUUUGUAGUAAUGAUCAAUUAGCCAUGAUGAAAGAGAAGGAUAAAGGAGUGAAGAUAAAUGAUGAUGUAAGGAGUAAUUUUGCUAGUCUAAUAUAAUUACAUUUUAAAAUUAGAAUUUAAAUUAUGUGACCAAUUAAUGUAGUUGAGGAAAAAAUUGGGCAAGAAGUGGAAUGCACUUUCAAAAGUAGAAAAAGAAAAUUUCAUGGCAAAGUCCAAAGAAAGUUCAAAACAAUAUUCACUUCAAAAGGGUGUAGUUCCAAAGGUAAUUUUUUUUUGUAAUGAAUAUUUAAUUUCUUUACUUAUGUAUUUGUUGGAAAUUAUAUUAAUGUAAACAUGUUUGAUGUUUGUGUAUCUUUUCAGUUAUAUCUUCAGACUCGAUGCUCCCCCGAGCGAGUUAUUAGAGUGAUUGAAAAUUUAGAACCAAAGCAAAAGGCAGCCAUAGAAGAAAUAGGAUUUGGUAGCCUCUUGCAACUUCGAUGUAGGAAAAUUGAUCAUGGGUUAUGUCUUUGGUUGAUAAAUAGUUUUAAUCCGAACACUUAUAUGUUACAGUUGUAUAAUACUUGUAUCAAAUUAUCCCCCAUUGAUGUUGAAUUCAUUAUGGGAUUGAGGGCAAGAGGGUUCAAGAUUGGCAUGAACAAAGAUGUUGGUCAUAAGAAUGAUUUAUGUAAAAAAUAUUGUGAUAAAAAAGGGCGAUUGCCAUUAGUGAUGUUAGAAAAUCAAAUUAGGGAGGAUAAAGAGGGUGGAAACGAUUUUAAAGUUCGUUUUGUAUUAUUUGUGUUGGGUGCAUUAUUGUGCCCAACAAUGAAGCUUUUUGUGAAUCGCUCUUUCUUACAUCUUGUGGAAGACAUCGAUUAAUUAAAGAAGAUGAAUUGGGCAGAAUUUGUGUUGUCCUAUCUUGUGCACGGGAUUGAAGAGUUUAAGAAGAAACAACAAAGUGGGGUUUACGGUUGCUUAUUGUUUUUAAUGGUAAUUAAUUUACAUCAUAGUGAAUUACGAUUUUGUUUUAAUAUAAUUUAUGAACUAACUAUAUAUCUAUGUCAAAUAUACUCGUAGUUAUUCUACCACGAGCAUAUAUCGUUUGAAGAGAAAUUUCUACCGCUAUAUACUUGACUUUCUCCUCGGAUUACUGCUUGGGGAGAUGAUGAAGUAUUGGACAGGAAACGAAGAUUGAAAAAACUUAGUGGAUAUGCAAAUGAGAAUGUAAGUUAUAGUUUUGAAAGUCGUUUGCUAUUGAUUUAAGUUUUUAGUGAUUUAAAAUCUGAUAUGUAUUAUAUUUUGAUGAAUAUAUUGUAGCUCAAAAUAUGGGUGAUAGAAAAUGAGAUAAGGGAUUGCGUUGAUGGAAAUGCAACGAUAAUGGCGAGUGAGAAUGAGGACGAUGAGAAAUUUGUAUCCAAUCUAAACAAAGAUGUUAUUAAACGAAUAAGUGUUUUACAAUAUUCAUCGUGACUAUCUAUAUUAGCAUUGAACCUUUGUAUUAUGAUGUUAUUAAUCACGUUCGUAUAUAUCACUAGGUUGAUGGUGGGAACUUAAUGGAGAUGGAUAAAACCUUUCAACAAUUAAAGACACAUCUAAUUGAUAUGGCGUAUGGUGCAAGUAGUCGUAGUUGUGAUCAAAUUUUGGCUAAAUUUGAGGAGAAUUAUACUACAGUGAAAGGUCUCUUCCUUAGGUCAAGCGGAAAACCUUUGAGAAUGCACGAGGAAGGAACGAAGAAUGACAUGCUCUCAUGCGAGAGAAGUUUGGAAGAUACGAACAAUAUGAAUGUGAAUGAACAUUAUCUUCACACUUUGUCAAAUGACAAGUUAUGCACCGAGGACUUGAAUGAAAGAAUGAGAUGCAUGUGCUACNNNNNNNNNNNNNNNNNNNNNNNNNNNNNNNNNNNNNNNNNNNNNNNNNNNNNNNNNNNNNNNNNNNNNNNNNNNNNNNNNNNNNNNNNNNNNNNNNNNNNNNNNNNNNNNNNNNNNNNNNAAUACUAAAAAAUUCACAAGGGUACGAAGAAUGUGAGGAAUCCUCACAUUCUUCGUACACUCCCAAAUCUCCAUUUCUUUGGACUUUUUAAAAUUUUUUGGGGCUUCAUAUGGCUUGGAUGUUGCUUGAAUAGGUCCGUUACACUUAGAAGGUGGUCAAAUGAUAUCCGAAAAAAUCGAAAUCCAAAAAUACUAAAAAAUUCCCUCACAUUCUUCGUACCCUCCCAAAUCUCCAUUUAUUUGGACUUUUUAAAAUUUUUUGGUGCUUCAUAUAAUAGGUCCGUUACACUUAGAAGGUGGUCAAAUGAUAUCCGGAAAAAUCAAAAUCCAAAAAUACUAAAAAAUUCACGAGGGUACGAAGAAUGUGAGGAUUCCUCACAUUCUUCGUACCCUCCCAAUCUCCAUUUCUUUGGACUUUUUAAAAUUUUUUGGGGCUUCAUAUGGCUUGGAUGUUGCUUGAAUAGGUCCAUUACACUUAGAAGGUGGUCAAAUGAUAUCCGGAAAAAUCAAAAUCCAAAAAUACUAAAAAAUUCACAAGGGUACGAAGAAUGUGAGGAAUCCUUACAUUCUUCGUACCCUCCCAAAUUUCCACUUCUUUCGACUUUUUAAAAUUUUUUGCGCCAUCAUAUGGCUUGAAUGUUGCUUGAAUAGGUCCGUUACACGUAGAAGGUGGUCAAAUGAUAUCCGUAAAAAUCAAAAUGGAAAAAUACUAAAAAAUUCACAAGGGUACGAAGAAUGUGAGGAAUCCUCACAUUCUUCGUACCCUCCCAAAUCUCCACUUCUUUGGACUUGUUAAAAUUUUUUGGGCCAUCAUAUGGCUUGAAUGUUGCUUGAAUAGGUCCGUUACACUUAGAAGGUGGUCAAUGACAUCCGGAAAAAUCGAAAUCGAAAAUACUAAAAAAUUCACAAGGGUACAAAGAAUGUGAGGAAUCCUCACAUUCUUCGUACCCUCCCAAUCUCNCUUCUUUGGACUUUUAAAUUUUUUGGACAUCAUAUGGUUGGAUGUUGCUUGAAUAGGUCCGUUACACUUAGAAGGUGGUCAAAUGAUAUCCGGAAAAAUCAAAAUCCAAAAAUACUAAAAAAAUUCAAAAGGAUACAAAGAAUGUGAGGAAUCCUCACAUUCUUCAUACCCUCCAAAAUCUCCAUUUCUUUGGACUUUUUAANNNNNNNNNNNNNNNNNNNNNNNNNNNNNNNNNNNNNNNNNNNNNNNNNNNNNNNNNNNNNNNNNNNNNNNNNNNNNNNNNNNNNNNNNNNNNNNNNNNNUCAAAUGAUAUCCGGAAAAAUCGAAAUCCAAAAAUACUAAAAAAUUCACAAGGGUACGAAGAAUGUGAGGAAUCCUCACAUUCUUCGUACCCUCCCAAAUCUCCACUUCUUUGGACUUUUUAAAAUUUCUUGGGCCAUCAUAUGGCUUGGAUGUGUGCUUGAAUAGGUCUGUUACACUUAGAAGGUGGUCAAAUGAUAUCCGGAAAAAUCGAAAUCCAAAAAUACUAAAAAAUUCACAAAGGUACGAAGAAUGUGAGGAAUCCUCACAUUCUUCGUACCCUCCCAAAUCUCCACUUCUUUGGACUUUUUAAAAUUUUUUGGGUCAUCAUAUGGCUUGGAUGUUGCUUGAAUAGGUUGAUUCCACUUAGGCGGUGUUCGAAUAAGUCCCGAAAAAUUAAAAGCUAAAAAUACUAAAAAAUUAGAAAAGGUCCGAAGAAUGUGAGGAUUCCUCACAUUCUUCGUACCGUCCCAAAUCUUCACUUAUUUGAAGUUUUAAAAAUUUUGUUGGACUUCAUAUGCCUUGGAUAUUGUCUAAAUAGGUUGAGUCCACUUAGGUGGUGUUCGAAUGAGUCCUGGUAAAAUUAAAAGCCAAAAAUAUUAAAAAAUUAGAUAAGGUACACAGAAUGUGAGGAAUCCUCACAUUCUUCAUACUCUCCCAAAUCUCCACUUCUUUGAAGUUUUAAAAUUUUUUUGGACUUCAUUUGCCUUGGAUAUUGUUUAAAUAGGUUGAUUCCACUUAGGCGGUGUUUGAAUGAGUCCUGGAAAAAUCCAAAUCCAAAAAUAUUAUAAAAUUGGACGGGGUACGAAGACUGUAAGAAAUCCUCACCAUUUUCCGCUUGUAUGAGGGUGUGAAAUGGAUUCUUCAAAAUUCAAAAUGGAAAUAUACGAAAAAAUAUUGUGAGGCGUUUUGAUUUCCAUAUGGUUAGUAAUUAUACAUUUUUCGUAUUUUCAAUAUUUCAAUUAAUUUUUUUGUGUAAUUCAAUUUAAACGCUAAGAAAUAAUUUGGUCAUAUAUUAUCAAUUAAUAAUUAGUACACAAUUAAUUUAAUAUAAAUUUAAUAUUUAUAUUUUAUAUCAUUUAUUUAUAUUUUUUCUUUUUUUUUCACUUCAUAAACAAAUUAUAUUGCUUUUCACACUUCAAAUAUUUUUCAAAUUUUGUCAACAAAUUAUUUGAUGUUAAAAUAAAGUAUAUUUACUUUUCCUUAAUUUAUAAAUUUUAUCACCAAAUUAGUUUGAAUUUUUUUUAUUUAAAAUUUAAUUUUUAUCUUGGGUUUAAUCACUUUAUAUUACAAAAAAAAAUGCUAUUUAUUUUUUCAAAUUUCUCUUUAUUUUUCUGUUGCACAAAAAAAAUUCCCCAAACAAAAUAAUUACAUUAAACAGGAAUUUAUAAUUGGUUGUUGUAAUGGAUGUAAAAAUGUGUGUUGCAUGGGAUUAAUUCCCAUGGCAACCGGUUACCAACCUGAAGAAUUGGUUUUGUAUAUUAUUUUUCCAUGCCAUGUGUCUUCAUCUUGUGAGUCCAAAAAAGUGGGUAUGGUACCGAAAAACCACUUUUCGGUACCCUAGCAUAACCCUAUAUUAUAUAAGCAAGCAUGCAGACCAUGUUCCACAAUAAUAUCAUAUAUUAUAUAAGCAGCCAAACAAGACUUCUUCCUUCCAAGCAUGCAGACCAUAUUCCGCAAUAAUAUCAUAUAUUAUAUAAGCAGCCAAACAAGACUUCUUCCUUCCAAGCAAGCAAACCAUAUUCGACAAUAAUAGUUAAUAUUAUAUAAGCAUAAGUUCUUCUAUGUUUCCUUCUUCAUUGACGAGGUUGACAUGAUUUUUUAUGUUUUUUGUUGAGAUUGUAAUUUUUAGAUUAAACAUGAAAUGUUUUCUUACAUUCUAUUUACUUUUCUUCACUAUUGGUAGCAAAUUUUAUUUUUCUAUCCCGAUGGAAAUACCUAAUAUUGUUAUGAAUCAUGAAAAAUCAUAUCAAUCUCAUAUUUGUUGUUUGUGCUUGAUAGUAGGAUUUUCUUAAAUUUUGCAUUUUAAAUAUUUUUUUUUGGACUUCCCUCAUGUCUAGUACCCUACUUAAAAAUAAAAUAAAAUAAAAUAAAAAUAAAAAACAAUUAUUAACUUAAAAUUCUUCCAUAUUUAACCAUUUUUAAAAUGCGAGAAUUAAGCAAAUUGAGUAAUAUUCUCUUUGUUAGUUUUUAAGUGCUAAUCAAUUGAAGGUAAUCAUUCGGAAGGGGAGUGAAGUGGGGAUGGUCACUUUUUCAAAAUUUAAUAAUUAUAAAUACACAUAAAAUAUAAAUAAUAAUAUAAUAAAUCAAUAUAAGGAUAAUUUUCAAAUAAAUAAAGUAUGGAGGGGGACAUGCAAAUACUAAUUUUUAUAAUGGUUUAGCGUAACUUGACUUACACUUAUAUUCACCCUCCUCAAAUUCCAACCGAGUGAAUAUUCAACUAAUAAGGCUUCCAACUAAGCCUUCAAACUUAACCCAAUAAGAUAUAAUAUGCAAAGAAAUAUUGAAGUAAUAAUACUAAACAAAUCUCUUUAUAAAGUAGUUAGGAUUUCACAGAUGUACUAUUCGCAAUAAUAUUAUAACAUUGUAGGAAAAAAUUAAGGGAUUUUCAAUAGAUAAUUCUCAAAAACAAAGGUGAUUAAUUGUGUUUACAAGAAAAAAAAAUUAUUAUUUCUCUUCAAAAAUGAGCUUAACAAGGGACCCUUUUUUUUUUUGUCAAAAUUAGAAUAGAGUUUGAACACAUUAUUUGAAUCAACAUCUUUCCAAAAGUCAAGAGUGAUGGAAGGCAAAACCCAUCACUUGGUUGGCUGAUUCUUACCUAAUCAAAUGAACUACUCUUAUACAUUGUUUCUAGAAAGAAGUCUAAGAAAAUGUAUGGCACAAUGCAUGUGAUGGGAUCCACCACUUCUAGAGCAAAGUCUCAACUUCCAUGUGAACUCUAAGACCUCUCAAAAUCUUUUUUUUUUUUAUUAUUAUAUUUUUAAAUUAUUAUUUUCACAACAUUAAUUGCUUUAAUAUUUAAUGUUCCUUUCUCCUCUUUUUCUUUGAUAAUAGUGAAAUAUAUAUAUGAAAGCAUGUCUUCGUCAAUAAUUUAACUUUAGUUUUUCCAUUUUUAUGGAUAUCCAAAUAAUAAAAAAAUUAUGAUUUUUUGUUUCUCUCUUUUUCCCUAUAAUUUUUUAAUUUAUUUUUAUUUUCUCUAACUUUCUGAAAACAAAAUAUAACCUAAAUUUUUAUAUAGUCAAUUUGCAGCUAUGGGCAUAUGUCUUGUUUUAGAGUUUUUUAUGACAAUAUUUAAAUUAGCCUUGAAAUUUGGAAGUUAAUCCUAAAUUUUAGGUUGCGAAAGACCACAUUUUCUAUAAGCCCAACUAAAUAGAAACACAAAAAUAAUUCAUAUAGGUUCACUCAAAUUGAAUAAAACUCAUAUUUAAAAUAAGUUGAAUAAAAAAAACUUAAAUACAAUUGUCAUCACAAUAUUACAAAAAUGAGCUUAACAAGAGACUCUAUUUUUUCUUUUUCAAAAUAAACAAAUUUAAGAAGGAGAUUUAAUGCAUUAUUUGAAUCAACAUGUUACCAAAAAUUAAAAUCAAAAAUAAAAAUACAAAGAAUAAAAAGUUAAGAGUGAUGGUACACAAAACCCCACUAUUUGAUUGGUUGGUUUCUAUCUAAUCAAAUGCAUUAUUGUUGGGAUAAAAGAACCCUACCGGUAUGUGUAACGCCCAAGUUUUCAUUUUAAAGGGUAAUUUAGGAAAUUCUUAAUAAUGAUAUUAAAUUAAUUAAUUAAUUAAUUUAAUAAAAUGGAAGAGGGGUGAAAAGGUAAUUUUACGAAUAAUACCCUAGGUAUAAAUAGAAAAUUAUCUUCUUCCUGUUCUUUUUUGAAUCAUAUUCCUGUUCGCAGAGAAUUUCUAGAGAACGUGAAGUUAAGAUCAGAUUUCAAGGUUUGAAGAACAAACCUCUAUAGGUAAGUUUCUAACCUCUAUAUUAUUAUUUUAGAUUCAUUAGUUAAUUUCAAGCACAUUAGAUAUAUUUUUUUUGGAAAACCCCAAAUCUAGAUUAGGGUUAGAUUAUUUUUUUUUUAAUUCGUUUUAAUAUUAAAUAGUGAAAAUUUAAUAUUUUGAUUUAUUAUUGGAAUUGGGGAGAUCUUAAGUUUUUUUUUAUUAGAAAAAAAGAAAAUUCCUAUGAAAAUUUCGAUUUAGAUUAGGGUUAGUUUAUUAUUAUUAUUAUUAUUAUUAUUUCGUUUUAAUAUCAAAAUAGUAAAAAUUUAAGAUUUUGAUUUAUUAUUGGAAAUUGGAAAUUCUUAAGCUUUUAGAAAAAAAAAAAAAAAAACCUGGAAGAUGCGUGUGCACACUGUAGAAUUGGAGAAUGGUUUAAGGAUUAAAAGAAAAAAAUAGAGGACGCGUGUGCUCACUGGAAUUGGAGAAUGAAAAAAAAAUAAUAUAUUAUAUAUAUGGGUGUGGGUGUGUGUACGGAUGGAGGGAUGGGUGGUGUUUGGUAGUUAAUGUACAUAUAUGUAUAUAUAUUAUUAUAUUGACAAUGGAUAAAGUUUAUGUUUAAAAAAAAAAAAAAAGAGAAUAGAAGUUUUAAAUAAAAGAAAGUAAAGUUUUUUUUGGUAUUAUAAUUAUACUAAUAAUGAGUAUAAGUUAAUAAAUAACAUAGAAAUUAAUUAGUGAAAUAAAUUAUAGUUUAAUUAAAUUAAGUUGUGUCCCAAAAAAAAAAAAAAUUAAUUUGAAUACCUAAAAUUUUAGGAUUGACAAACCUGUAAUUUUAGAUAAAUAGUAAUGGUUAUUUCUCUUAUAUUUGUUAGGUGAAGAGUAGAUUUUCAGGAUUAUUUUUCUCCAAAGUUUUUGAGGACUUCUUUUGAGGUAAGGGAAGUUAAUGUAAUAUUUAUAAAAUUAAAUUAUUUCAUAUGUUAUUUUGAAUUGUGGAAAAUAAAAUGAUAUUUUGUUACCAUGCAUGGAUCAAAUUGUUUUGCACUAAAUGUUAUGUUGGAAUAUUUUGUUUUAUUUAUGACACAAAAUAUGGAGAUAUUAUGUUGUGUAAAUUUGAAUACUUGAACAAAAACAUCACUCUGGUUUAUUUGGCCCUUGUCAACGGGAUAUAAUAAUUGACUAUUUGGCCCUAUCAACGGGAUAUAAUAAUUGACCUUUACAUUUCAUGGUGGGAAUGUAAUUGAUUUGGACCCCAGCCUCUAGGGGUUUGGUUAGAGGUUACUAGUACUAGUAGCGUUUGGUUCCGUCCACCAGGAACAAUUUGAGGCUAGCCACCCAUUUGAAAAGUCCCACCUAACUGGGCAUUUGAUAUUUGAUAACCAGAGUAAUGAAACUUGAAUGAAUUUGAUUGAAUCUUAUGUGAAAGUGUUUGAAUUUGAUAUGAAAUUGGUUGGUUGAAUUUUGAAUAUAUUGGUAUUUUUGGAACUCUGAUAUUUGAUAAGAAAAAAAAAAUUUAUAUCUCCUAUUUGAAAUGAAAAUAUUUGAUCCAUGAAUUGCAUUAAUAUUCCUUAUUGGGCUGUGAGCUCAUUCCCAAUUGUUGAAAAUUUUCAGGUACUCUUAGUUCGGGUGAGGAGUGAUGGCUAGGCUGAAGAAUGGUCAUCAUUAGGAUUUGACUUAGGAUUUUAUGUUGGAUUUUGUUUAACUGUUAGUUAUGUUCAUUUGGAUCAUUUGAUAUUUGAAAGUUAUUUGGAAAUUGAAUUUUGAGGAAUUUAGAUUUUGUUCCGCUACUCUGAACAAGUAUUUGGUAAUUGGUAACAUCUAGUUACAAUAUGAUUGUUCGGGUCAGAUUAUACUUUAAGCCUUCGGGUUUGAGGUGUGAAAUGACCGUCACGCCCUUGGAGUGGGUCUUGGGGCGUGACAGUAUGUGAUGGGAUCCACUACUUUUGGAGUGAACUCCUGUAAACUCUGGCUGCUCAACAUUUCUUUAUCCUUAUUUUAAAAAAUUUAACUAUUAUUUUCACAACAUUGCUUGAAGGAAGUUGUUUUUUUUCAUAUUUUUCUUAGAUAAUAAUAAAAAAGUUUGGAAAAAGUUCCUUCCUCAAUAGUUCAUUUUUCUUUAAUUUUCUCAUUUUUCCUUUUCAUUAUUUAAUUUUGAUGAAAACAAAAUGAUAGCAUCCAUCGGAACACCAUUUUUAUGUCUAUUUGUCUUAGGGUAAGUGCUAUUGCAUUUCUAUGUAUAUUUGGUUUUAUUUCAUAUGACUCAAUUUACAUAAAACCUAUAGUUAAAAUAAGUUGACCAGAAAAAAAGGGGGUAAACACAAUUGCUAUCAUGAUAUUACAAAAAUAAAGUUUAACAAGUGACCUUAUUUUUUCUUUGUCAAAUUAAGAAAAGAUAUUUAGUGUAUUAUUUGAACUAAUCAAAUGCAUUAUUGUUAGGACAAAAGAACCCUAUAUGUGAUGGGAUCCACUACUUUUUGAGCUGACUCCCAACUUCCAUGUAAAGUCUAGGGCCUCUCGACAUUUUUUUAUGCAUUCACUUGUUUUUAUUUUUGUUUUUAUUUUUAACUAUUAUUUUCACAACAUUGCUGUAAAGAAGUUGUUUUUCUUUUCAUAUUUUUCUUAGAUAAUAGUAAAAAAGUUUGAAAAAAGUGGCUUCUUCAACAGCUUAAUUUUUUUUUUCUCACAUUUUCAAUGGAUAUCUAGACCAAAGAAAUUCUUUUAUAAAUUUUUCUUCUCAUUUUCUUUUAUCUUUUAUCUUUUUUAACAUUUUUUUUCAACCUUUUAAAAACUAAAUAUAACCUAAAGAAAAUAAUAAUAAAUAUAAAAACAAAUACAUAAGGAAAGACUUUUAACAUAAUUUUUUAUUAUAAAAAUCAUUGAAGUGCACAAAUAAACCUAUAUAUAAAUGAUUGGGAAGCUGGAAUCCUUUGUUCUCAAGAAUCUUUAAUGAUUGGGAAAUGGAAGAGGUGGAGGGCUUGCUUCAAAAAAUACACCCUCUGGUUUUGCAUAGUGAUGUGGAGGAUGUUUUAAGCUGGAAGAUUGGUAAGAAUGACUCUUUCUCUGUUAGAUCUUGAAAAUGUGAAUCUCAAUAAUGAACUACACCUAGAGGGGGGUGAAUAGGUGUUGUAGAACAAUUUUAAAAUUCUCCCAAUAAAGAUUACCUAACCUUAAUAAAACAUCCACAAGCAACAAUGUAUGCAUCAACACUCUCCCAACAAUUUAUAAAUGCAAAACACAUGCAAAUGCUUCAACACUCCUCAAAAAUAAAACAAAAUAUAGAGUGAGAGAAAGAGACACCAGAUUUUUAACGUGGAAAACCUCCGAAGAGAUCAAAAACCACGGGCCUAUCACCGAUUGAAAACUCCACUAUGAAGAAUAAAAAACUGAGUACAAGGUUUUACCUAGCUCAAGCCAACCAAUCCUUCCCGGAAUACUUGACUAGUACCUUCAUUUUCAGCUUCUCCUUUUGGAGCACACUUGGAGUCCGCACCAAGCUCAAUCUCGGCCUCUUCUUGAAUCCACACAAGAAGAAAAUGGGUUUUUGCACAACCCAAAUAGAAUGAGAGAUUUAGAUGUGAAUGAAAGAAUGAAUCAACCCAUUUAUUGCUCAAGAAAAUCCAUUGAAAACAAGUUUUGAAAACAUUAAGAGAAGUUGAUUUUCUUUGCAAUCAAAAACCCCAACUUAGGAAAGCAAAAAUGAGAAAUGAAGAACACUUGGGAGUGUGGCUGCUCUCCCCACGUUUUCAGCAGUCUCUCUACACAGAAAAUGAGAGAAGAUUGGGUUUUAAAGUGUAAAAAGAAACCCUUAAUCUAAUGGCUGAGAUUUGAUCAAAAAAACAUUAGUUGGAUAGAUCCACCCCUACACCUGGAUCGAUCCAGAAACAGAGGAAUAAAAGCCUUGCACCAAAAACCAUUUUUUCCAACUUUCUAACACAUUUUAAAGAUUAAAAACCGGGUUGAUUCACACCCAAUCACUCCACACUCGACUACAUACCUUGGCCUCUUAGCAAAGUCUUAGUCUUCAAAGUCAAGUAGUCCGAAUAGGAAUAGGAAAGCCGAGUUAGGGGACACUUAGGAAUUUUGUCCGGAAUUGCCAACCUAGCUAAACACUCACAGAUCUCUCUACCAAUCCCUCACAACUACCUCUAGUGAACCUUUUCCUUGGAGCAUCAUUUGGAGAUCUUGGGCACCCGUGAGAGUUAGUUUUUUUGCUUGGGAAGCGUCUUGGAACCGAAUUUUGACCACUGAUCAGCUUAAAAGAAGGGGCUGGAUACUAUCAAAUAGAUGUUAUUUGUGUAAAAUGGAAGAGGAAACUAGCGACCACUUGUUCCUAUUCUGCAAGAAGGCUAUAAUGUUAUGGAGCUUGCUUUUCUCCCUUUUUGACGUGCAGUGGGUCCUACAUUCCUCAAUCAAAAGGAAUUUGAUAGCUUGACAUGGUGCUUCUAUGAGCAAGGGAAAGGAAAAAGCUUGGAGGGUUGCUCCCCUUUGUUUAAUGUGGAUAUUAUGGAGGGAGAGAAAUGAAAGAGUGUUCAAUAACAAUGAACGUACCGACCAAGCUCUAAAACUCUCUUUUUUGUACACUUUUGUGAAUUGGGGUAGGGUAUAUUUAGAGAAUCAUUCUUUGUCAUUGUUUGACUUUAUAGAAUGACUUUUGUCUAGAUAAAAUAAAGGUUUUUCUUUUUGGCUUAAAUCCUUGGGCGUUACUUGUAUACUUCGUGUCUACUCUUUUCGCCUUUCUAGGCUUUUAUAAUACAUCCUCUUAUUUGCCUAUAAAAAAAAAACACCUAUAUAUAAAUGAACUUUCAUUGUUUUAAACGUUAAUUAUUAUUGAUAUAACAAAAUGUAGUAUAAAGAAAAUAUAAUUUUACAAAAUUUAUCCAUUAAUCCAAAUGAAUAAGAAUUAAAUGGUGUAAAACAAUUUUCUAUUUUUGAUUAUUUUAUUUUAUUUUAUCUCAUUAUUAAAUUUUGAUGGUAGAAAAAUGGUGGCAUCCAAGAGAACACUAUUUCUAUGUCUAUUUGUUUUACGGUAAGUAAGUGUUAUUAGUGCAUUCCAAAUAAAAUAUAAAAAAAUUUAAUAAUGUUUAUUGCUAGAUUUAAAUUUGACAUAACCAAUAUGCAGUUAUAAACAUAUCUUUAUUGUUUUAGAACUUUUUAACCUUGAAAUUUUGAAUUUAUCCUAAAUUUUACAUGGGGUAAGACUAUAUUUUCAUAAGCUCAAUUAAAUAAAUGCACCAAAAUUUUUUGUUUGAGGUUAACUCAAAUUCAACUAUUUAAAGAAGUAACGGCAAUUCAAAUAAUUUUUUCCAAAUUCAUUUUAAUUUAUAACCCACCUUCUAAAGGAGUUCUCGAUUUCUACCAAUUACUUCAAAUUUACCUUAUUUUAUAUCCCAUAUUUUCAGAAGUCAAUUUACUUCCAACCACACAGAUCCCACGAUAAUAUUAUAUGUCAUCUUAAAUCCAUAUCCAUUUGAUUGGUAGGAUAUUAUCUCUUCAUUUUUAUUUUUUUUUUAAGUUGACGUUGACUCAAGUCAAUCCCCUCUCUCCAUAUAUAGAUGUAUCAGUCUGAGAUCACUUACAGCCUUCUGAUCGUCUCUCAUCGUCUCUCUAGCUACACUUCCGUUCCAUCUACUUUCCAUCCUCUGCAGUAUUAUUUUCUUUGCUAUUUCAAAUAUGGCUGAACAAAUUCCAUUCGGUAUUGCUGAGAACCUUUUGAUGAAGCUGGGCUCUGCUGUUUUCCAUGAAAUUGGAUUAAUGUAUGGUGUCCGAGGUGAGCUGAGUAAGCUUAAGGAGAAACUGUCCACCGUCGGAGCUGUGCUUCUUGAUGCUGAGGAGAAGCAGGAGAGCAGCUGCGCAGUAGCAGAUUGGGUCAGGAGGCUUAAAGAUGUUGUGUAUGAUGCUGAUGACUUGUUGGACGACUUUGCAACCGAAGACUUGAGGAGAAAGACUGAUGAUCGUGGAAGAUUUGCGGCACAAGUGAGUGACUUCUUCUCACCUUCGAAUCAACUUGCUUUUCGAUUUAAGAUGGCUCAUGGAAUAAAGGCUAUUAGAGAAAGGCUAGAUGAUAUUGCAAAUGAUAUCUCCAAGUUCAAUUUAAUUUCCAGAGUUAUGUCUGAUGUCCGGGUAAGGAAUAAUGGGAGGGAGACGUGCUCUGUUGUGGAGAAAUCUCAUAAAAUUGUGGGUAGAGAAGAAAACAAAAGGGAGAUAAUAGAGUUGUUGAUGCAAUCAAGUACUCAAGAAAAUCUGUCAAUGGUUGUGAUUGUAGGCAUGGGGGGCUUAGGCAAGACCACCCUUGCUCAGUUGGUAUACAACGACCAAGGGGUGGUAAGCUAUUUUAAUCUUAGCAUGUGGGUCUGUGUUUCCGUUGAUUUCGAUGUUGAAGUACUCGUUAAAAACAUCUUAAUGUCUGCGACUAAUGAAGAUGUGGGAAACCUACGCUUAGAACAAUUGCAAAAACGUCUGCAAGAAAAGUUAGAUGGGAAGAGGUACUUGCUUGUGUUAGAUGAUGUCUGGAACGAGGACAAAAGGAAAUGGGGUCAGUUCAUAACCUUAUUGCCUGUUGGUGCAAAUGGGAGUAAAAUCUUGGUGACCACUCGAAGCACAAGAGUUGCAUCAGUUAUAGGAAUUGAUUCCCCAUAUAUUGUGGAAGGUCUUAAAGAUGACGAGUCUUGGGAUUUGUUUGAAAGUCUUGCAUUUAAAAAGGCAGAAGAGCAAAUGCACCCAAACCUUGUAGCCAUAGGAAAAGAUAUUGUAAAGAUGUGCAAAGGAGUUCCUCUUAUCAUCGAGACUUUAGGCAGAAUGUUGUACUUCAAAACCCAAGAAAGCCAUUGGUUGAGCAUUAAAAAAAAUAAAAAUCUUGUACAUCUUGGAGAAAAAAAUGAUAUUUUACCGAUAUUGAGGUUAAGCUAUGACAAUCUCCCCGUCCAUUUGAAACAAUGUUUUGCCUAUUGUGCAUUGUUUCCCAAAGAUUAUAUAAUUAAAAAAAAGUUGUUAGUACAACUAUGGAUGGCACAAGGUUACCUUCAACCAUAUGAUGAGAAUAUAGAUUUAGAGGAUGUUGGUAAUCAAUAUUUUGAAGAUUUAUUGUCAAGGUCAUUGUUUCAAAAAGUUGAAAAUAAAUAUGAUAACAAUAUGUUAAGUUAUAAAGUGCAUGACUUAAUUCAUGAUCUUGCACAAUCCAUUGUAAAUUCGGAGGUUAUCAUUGUUACUGAUGAUGUGAAGAUCAUUUCACAAAGAAUUCAUCAUGUGUCAUUAUUUACAAAACACAAUGAAAUGCUCAAGGGUUUAAUGGGCAAAUCCAUCAGGACUUUCUUUAUGGACGCCGGCUUUGUGGAUGAUCAUGAUAGUUCUAUAACUAGACUCCUUUCAAGCUUAAAAGGUUUGCGGGUAAUGAAGAUGAGUUUCUUCUUACGACAUAAGGCUCUGUCAUCUUUAGGAAAACUAAGUCAUCUAAGAUAUCUUGAUCUUUCUUAUGGGUGGUUUGAAAACCUCCCAAAUGCUAUUACAAGAUUGAAGCAUUUACAGACAUUGACGCUUUUCAAUUGUAUACGUCUAAAAGAAUUGCCGAGAAAUAUGAAAAAAUUGAUCAACCUGAGGCAUCUUGAGAUUGAUGAAGUAAAUAAAUUAAGUUAUAUGCCACGUGGUUUGGGAGAUUUGACUAAUCUUCAAACCUUGCCAUUAUUCUGGGUAAGGAAUGAUGGUGGGGAAUCCAGGCACAAGAGAAUGGGUAGGUUGAAUGAACUGAGAUUCCUUAACAAUCUCAGAGGACAACUACAAAUUAAAAGGCUUUCAAAUGCAAGGGGCAGUGAAGCUAAGGAAGCCAUGUUGGAGGGUAAACAGUACCUUGAGUGCUUGAGAUUAGAUUGGUGGAAACUACCAGCUACCCAGGAGAGUGAGGAGGCAAUGUUAGUAAUGGAAUGCCUGCAACCACAUCCAAAUCUGAAGGAGCUCUUCAUAGUUGAUUACCCAGGUGUGAGAUUCCCAAAUUGGAUGAUGAAUGAUGGGUUGGAUUUGCUGCUCCCAAACCUAGUCAAAAUACAAAUAUCGUCUUGCGACAGAAGCAAAGUUCUGCCACCUUUUGCACAACUCCCUUCUCUUAAAUAUCUAGAACUUUCCAAUCUAAUAGCUGUGGAGUGCAUGAUGGAUUACCCUUCAUCAGCAAAGCCAUUCUUCCCAUCUCUGAAGACACUCCAACUUUCUGAUUUGCCUAAUUUGAAGGGAUGGGGAAUGAGGGAUGUAGCAGCAGAGCAAGCUCCUUCAUAUCCUUAUCUUGAGGAUCUACGGCUGGACAACACCACUGUGGAGCUAUGCUUACAUUUGAUCUCUGUCUCUUCUUCAUUGAAGUCUGUGUCUAUUAGACGCAUAAAUGAUCUGAUAUCUCUGCCAGAGGGGCUUCAACAUGUUUCCACCCUACAAACUCUCACAAUUAGGGGUUGCUCUAGUUUGGCAACUUUACCAGACUGGAUCGGCCGCCUCACAUCACUUUCAGAGCUUUGCAUUGAAAAGUGCCCUAAUUUAACAUCACUGCCAGAAGAGAUGCGAUCCCUCCGCCAUCUACACACACUUAAAAUCAAUGGAUGUCCAUACUUAUAUGAAAGAUGCCAAAAGGAAACUGGUGAAGAUUGGCCUACGAUUUCUCAUAUUCCCGAAAUUAUCAUUCGGCGAUGGUGAAGCAGAUAUGUGAAGCUUGCCUUGUCUCUUUAAUGAAUGCGUCAUCCACAAUAAAUUUCGGUAUGCAAUCCAAUUUCUAGUUGUUUGCUGUGCUUUUUGUUAUUUGUUCGCACUUCACCUGUUAUAUAAAAUGCUUAGCUUACCAAAAUGCCCUGUUACUCGGUGUUUGCAGUUUACACAUUUGCAUUUUACUGCCGUCGAAUGUAUUGAGGUGAACCCCCACCACAUGUUGAAUUGAUUGGUAGUGUGAAGAAGACCAUUGAUGUAUAUAGGUGUAGAGUAAGGUGUUUUUUCCAUAGGGACUGCCACAAGCAAUUUAAUUUCUUUUUUUUUUUUUUUUGAAUGUUGAUUCUUAUAAGAUAGAACCAAAAGCAUAAAAUAAAAUCUAAUGCUUAUUUAGAGUUUUUUUGUAAUAUAAACAAGUGCCUAUCGCAAAGAAAGAACAUAGCAUAUUUUUGUGCAAUUUUAAAUUAUUCAUCGUUCUAUGUGUUUCCAAUCCAAUUUGUAUGGUUGUUUUUGCAGGGUUUAUGUUUUGUUACUUUACAAUUUAUCUCUUAAGAACCUUAUAUAUUAUGUUUUGCUAAUUUCAAUAUGUAAUAGCAUAUGUGAGGAAAAAGGUUUUUCAAUUUGUUUUCCUUCACUUUGUUGCAUGUCUAUGUUCUUUUACUCAUGAAUACAAUUGGGACUGUAAAUGCUAUGUUCGGUUUUCUUGUAGUUAUUCAGAAUAUCACUUGGGAUGUGCAUAUAAUACUUUCUUAUUAUAGAAGUCUUUGCCCUAGUUAUAAAUUAUGAUUUGAUUUUAUAUUUUUGGAUUGAAAAAUGCUUGUAAUUCUUUUCGCUAGUCUAAUUUCUUGAUGAUUCAUUCUAUUAAGCCAACACCCUUUAAUAUUCCUUAAAAAAAUGUUGACAAGCGGAGGAUAACCGAUGCAUAUGGAACGAGUUAGCUCACUUACAUCACAUUCCCAACCUAUACUCUUUUUAGCAUGUUGUCCAUACUUUGUCUCCACUAUUCAGGUUUAGAAUUGACUCCUCUCCUUUUGCUCUGAAUUGUUUACCCCUUUCAUUCAUUUACUAAAAUUUUUUGUACUCCUUCUGAUGUUUUGAUCUUUUUUUUUUAACUCUUAUUUGAAGUAGAACAACAAUAUACCACUUGAGCAAGGAGCACAUAUCAUUGAAUCCAUGUGGUAAGUGGUUAAUUCUCGUCUCUCAAGUUUCUUGAUCGUGGGAAUCUAAAUGCUUUGGGGUGCAUGGAUAACAAUAGCGACAUAUCUCCCUCAUUUUCAUUGAGAGGCAAGUUGGUUUGAGGGGAGUAUAAAAUAAGGAGAACUAGCAGGACCAUUCUUCCCAUUCCUGCCAUGAUGGAGGAAAAGAGACGGUGGAGGGAUAGUAUCAAUAUCACUAGCAAAACAACAAAUUUGAAGGGAUUACCCAUCAUCAGCAAAGCCAUUAUUCCCAUGUCUGAGGACACUCCAACUUUUUUAUUUGCCCAAUUUGGAGGGAUGGGGAAGGAGGGAUGUAGCAGCAGAGCAAGCUCCUUCAUAUGCUUAUCUUGAGGAUCUACAGCUGGGCAACACCACUGUGGAGCUACGCUUACAUUUGAUCUCUGUCUCUUCUUCAUUGAAGUCUCUGUCUAUUAGACGCAUAAAUGAUCCGAUAUCUCUGCCAGAGGGGCUUCAACAUGUUUCCACUCUACAAACUCUCAGAAUUUCCGGUUGCUUUAGUUUGGCAACUUUACCAGACUGGAUUGGCAGCCUCACAUCACUUUCAUACCUUUCCAUUCAAUACUGCCCUGAGUUGAGAUCACUACCAGAAGAGAUGCGAUCCCUCCGCCAUCUAUACACACUCGAAAUCGGUGGAUGUCCAUGCUUAUAUGAAAGAUGCCAAAUGGAAACUGGCGAAGAUUGGCCUAAGAUUUCUCAUAUUCCCGAAAUUAUUAUUUCGCGACAUUGAAGCAGGUAUGUGAAGCUUGCCUUGUCUCUUUAAUUGAAUGCGUCAUCCACAAUAAAUUUCAAGUAUGCAAUCCAAUUUCCAAUUGUUUGUUGUGCUUUUUCUUAUUUGUUCGCACUUCACCUGUUCGAUAAAAUGCUUAGGUUACCAAAAUGCCUUGUUACUCGGUGUUUGCAGUUUACACGUUUGCAUUUUAUUGCCGUCGAAAUUGUUGUCAUCUCAUUUCUCUCAAAUAUUAUAUAAAUUUCAGAAUAUAAUACUUGAAACUGUUGCACUACUGAUUAUUUAAGGCUUGGAAUGCCUUCAAAAAUUGCAACCAUCAUGCCUCUAGAUGGCCACCCAAGAAAACUAAAGCUCAGGAAACUCAGCCAGGAAUUUAUAUUAAUCAGAACUAGACUCUUAUAUGGAUUUGCUUGUAGUGUUUAACAAUGUUUGGGCUAGAACUUAAAGAAGUGUAGCUCCAUAUUCCUUGAUAGACAUGUUAAUGUAUUGAGGUGAACCCCACCACAUGUUGAAUUGAUUGGUAGUGUGAAGAAGACCAUUGGUGUAUAUAGGUGUAGACUAAGGUGCUUCUUCCACAGGGCUGCCACAAGCAAUCUAAUUUCUUUUUCUUAUUUUUUUUCUUUUUUUUAUGUUGAUUCUUAUAAGAUGGCACCAAAAGCAUAAAAUAAAAUCUAAUGCUUAUUUAGAGUUUUUUGUAAUAUAAACAAGAGUCUAUUGCAAAGAAAGAACAAACAUAUUUCUAUGCAAUUUUAAAUUAUUCAACUUACUAUGUGUUUGCAAUCCAAUUUGUAUGGUUGUUUUUACGGGGUUUAUUUUUAGUUAUUUUACAAUUCAUCUCUUAAGAACCUUAUAUAUAUUAUAUUUUGCUAAUUUCGAUAUGUAAUAGCAUAUGUGAGGAAAAAGGUUUUUCAAUUUGUUUUCCUUCACUUUGUUGCAUGUCUAUGUUCUUUUAUUCAUGAAGAUAACUGGGACUGUAAAUGUCAUGUUCGGUUUUAUUGUAGUUAUUCAGAAUAUCACUUGGGAUGUGCAUAUAAUACUUUCUUAUUAUGGAAGUCUUUUCCCUGGUUAUAAAUUAUGAUUUGAUUUUAUAUUUUUGGAUUGAACAAUGCUUGUAAUUCUUUUCGCUAUUCUAAUUUCUUGAUGAUUCAUUCUAUUAAGCCAACACCCUUUAAUAUUCCUUAAAAAAAUGUUGACAGGUGGAGGAUAACCGAUGCAUAUGGAACGAGUUAGCUCACUUACAUCACAUUCCCAACCUAUACUCUUUUUAGCAUGUUGUCCAUACUUUGUCUCCACUAUUCAGGUUUAGAAUUGACUCCUCUCCUUUUGCUCUGAAUUGUUUACCCCUUUCAUUCAUUUACUAAAAUUUUUUGUACUCCUUCUGAUGUUUUGAUCUUUUUUUUUUAACUCUUAUUUGAAGUAGAACAACAAUAUACCACUUGAGCAAGGAGCACAUAUUAUUGAAUCCAUGUGGUAAGUGGUUAAUUCUCGUCUCUCAAGUUUCUUGAUCGUGGGAAUCUAAAUGCUUUGGGGUGCAUGGAUAACAAUAGCGACAUAUCUCCCUCAUUUUCAUUGAGAGGCAAGUUGGUUUGAGGGGAGUAUAAAAUAAAGAGAACUAGCAGGACCAUUCUUCCCAUUCCUGCCAUGAUGGAGGAAAAGAGAUGGUGGAGGGAUAGUAUCAAUAUCACUAGCAAAACAACAAAUUUGAAGGGAUUACCCAUCAUCAGCAAAGCCAUUAUUCCCAUGUCUGAGGACACUCCAACUUUUUUAUUUGCCCAAUUUGGAGGGAUGGGGAAGGAGGGAUGUAGCAACAGAGCAAGCUCCUUCAUAUCCUUAUCUUGAGGAUCUACAGCUGGGCAACACCACUGUGGAGCUACGCUUACAUUUGAUCUCUGUCUCUUCUUCAUUGAAGUCUCUGUCUAUUAGACGCAUAAAUGAUCCGAUAUCUCUGCCAGAGGGGCUUCAACAUGUUUCCACCCUACAAACUCUCACAAUUGAAUAUAUCUCUGGUUUGGUCACUUUACCACACUGGAUCGGCCGCCUCACAUCACUUUCAAAGCUUCGCAUUGAACACUGCCAUAAUUUGUUAUUUCUGCCAGCAGAGAUGCGAUCCCUCCGCCAUCUACACACACUUGAAAUCUGUGAUUGUCCACUCUUAUAUAGAAGAUACAAAUACAAAACUGGUGAAGUUUCGGCUAUGAUUUCUCAUAUUCCCGAAAUUAUUAUUUCGCGACAUUGAAGCAGGUAUGUGAAGCUUGCCUUGUCUCUUUAAUUGAAUGCAUCAUCCACAAUAAAUUUCAAGUAUGCAAUCCAAUUUCUAGUUGUUUGUUGUGCUUUUUCUUAUUUGUUCGCACUUCACCUGUUCGAUAAAAUGCUUAGGUUACCAAAAUGCCUUGUUACUCGGUGUUUGUAGUUUACAUGUUUGCAUUUUACUGCCGUCGAAAUUAUUGUCAUCUCACUUCUCUCAAAUAUUAUAUAAAUUUCAGAAUAUAAUACUUGAAACUGUUGCAAUACUGAUUAUUUAAUGCUUAUAAUGCCUUCAAAAAUUGCAACCAUCAUGCCUCUAGAUGGCCACCCAAGAAAACUAAAGCUCAGGAAACUCAGCCAGGAAUUUAUAUUAAUCAAAACUAGACUCUUUUAUGGAUUUGCUUGUAGUGUUUAACAAUGUUUGGGUUAGAACUUAAAGAAGUGUCGCUCCAUAUUCCUUGAUGGACACGUUAAUGUAUUGAGGUGAACCCCACCACAUGUUGAAUUGAUUGGUAGUGUGAAGAAGACCAUUGGUGUAUAUAGGUGUAGACUAAGGUGCUAAAUCCGUGGGGACUGCCACAAGCAAUCUAAUUUUAUUUUAUUUUUUUAUGUUGAUUCUUAAAAGAUGGCACCAAAAGCAUAAAAUAAAAUCUAUUGCUUAUUUAGAGUUUUUUGUAAUAUAAACAAGUGUCUAUCGCAAAGAAAGAAUAGAGCAUAUUUCUAUGCAAUUUUAAAUUAUUCAACUUACUAUGUGUUUGCAAUCCAAUUUGUAUGGUUGUUUUUACAGGGUUUAUUUUUUGUUAUUAUACAAUUUAUCUAGCUCUUUAGAACCUUAUAUAUUAUGUUUUGCUAAUUUCGAUAUGUAAUAGCAUAUGUGAGGGAAAAGGUUUUUCAAUUUGUUUUCCUUCACUUUGUUGCAUGUCUAUGUUCUUUUACUCAUGAAUAUAAUUGGGACUGUAAAUGUCAUGUUCGGUUUCCUUGUAGUUAUUUAGAAUAUCACUUGGGAUGUGCAUAUAAUACUUUCUUAUUAUGCAAGUCUUUUCCCUAGUUAUAAAUUAUGAUUUAAUUUUAUAUUUUUGGAUUGAACAAUGCUUGUAAUUCUUUUCACUAGUCCAAUUUCUUGAUGAUUCAUUCUAUUAACCCAACACCCUUUAAUAUUCCUAAAAAAAAUGUUGAUAGGUUGAGGAUAACCGAUGCAUAUGGAACAAGUUAGCUCACUUACGUCACACUCCCAAUCUAUACUAUCUUUAGCAUGUUGUCCAUACUUUGUCUCCACUAUUCAGGUUUAGAAUUGACUCAUCUCCUUAUGCUCUGGAUUGUUUACCCCUUUCAUUCAUUUACUAAAAAAUGUUGUACUUCGUCUGAUGUUUUUCGUCUGAUAUUUUGAUCUUUUUUUUAACUCUCAUUUAAAGUAGAACAACAAUAAACCACUUGAGCAAGGAGCACAUAUUACUGAAUCCAUGAGGCAAGUGGUUAAUUCUCGUCUCUCAAGCUUCUUGAUCAUGGGAAUCUAAAUGCUUUGGGAUGCAUGGAUAACAAUAGCGGCAUAUCUCCUUCAUUUUCAUUGAAAGGCAAGUUGGUUUGAGGGGAGUAUAAAACAAGGAGAACUAGCAGGACCAUUCUUCCCAUUCCUACCAUGAUGGAGGAAAAGAGAUGGUGGAGGGAUAGUAUCAAUAUCACUAGCAAAACAACAGUAACCAACAUUCAUUACCUCUCUAGUUUCCUCGUCUUUUUAUUUUACUUGAGCUGAAAUGCAUGCUGAUAUAUCUAUAUCUUGAUCAGGAUUUAGAUCUGUAUAACAUCUCUUCCACAAGAGGAGCCCUAAGUGCUUACUUCUCCUAAUUUGGUAAGUAUGUUGCAUUAUUGUUUGUUUGUAUGAUUCUAAAUAUCAGUUUUGAAUGAUGAUGAAAAUUUAUGUUUUUCUCUCAUUUUCUCAAAAUUGAUGACAAAUAGAUAAAAGAUUCUUGUGCUCUUUAAUUCUAGCACACCAUACAAACAUAUUUUAGGUUUGCAAAUCACCCCAUAUUCCUUUUCUAUGGGGUUUACUUUUCAUUAUUUUACAAUCUGUCCUUUAAGAAUGUUACACUUUCUUUACAGCUUUAAUGGUUACCAGAGUCUUUGAUGCAUUUCCAAAAACACUCAUAUUAUGCAAGUCCUUUUCAUGGUUAUGAGUCAUGUUUGUAAUUCUUUUGAUUGGAUUUUAUUGGACAAAUUUAUUGCAGAUUUAUUCUAUUGCAGACCAAUACCAAAGGGGUGAUGUUGAGGAUUGGAUAGAUGCUUUUCAAUAUUCCAUAAAUAAAUAUUGACAUGUUAUGGGUACCCGAGGCAUAUGGGAAGAGUUAGCCAUUCAAUUCGAUAUUUAAGCUUUGCAUGUUGUCUAUAACAUGUCUUCAUUAUUCAGGUUUAGGACCCAUUCCUCUCUUUUUUGGUUUUGUUGGUUUAUUUUCUGUUAUUUAAUUUGCUAAAAAUUCUUAUACCUUGUCUUAUAGGAAGGGUGAAACAAGGAGAAUUAACAGGAUUAUUCUUCUCAUUUCUGCCAUGAUGGAGAAACUCAAAAACUAGAUAAACUUAAAACAUAUGUCGAGGUGGUAGUGGCAUUACCAGAUAAACAACAGAAGCUUCAUUCUUGCCAUGUUUUCCUUUUCUUCCUAUUCUCCUUGAGCCGACAUCCAUGCCACUGCAUCUAUAUCUUAAGGAUCCACAGUACCAUCUCCUUCAUUUCCUUUCUCCUUCCUACAUCCAUUGAUGUCUAUGCAUAUUGAUGGCGAUAGAGAAUCCAACAUAUGUUCCAAAAAAAGGAUUUUGGUACAUCAUUUCUCUCUUAAAUUUUGACAUGCCAUUGUUUAUUUGUCCAAGUCUAGAUAUUCGAAAUGUAAAUGCUAAUGGUGGUGAAAUCUUAUGUCUUAGGGAAUUUCAGCAAGUUAAAGAUUUUUAUGUGAAAGUAGGAAUCAAUUCUAAGAACUUGAGAGGUAGCAUUCAAUAUGUAUUCACCUUACUACAGCAAAGAAUCUAACACUUUGGGUAUGUGUUCAUUCUUUAACUUAGGUAAAAUAGAUGGUAAGUCACCUCACUAAGCUUGUUGUUAUUCAUUGUCAAGCUUGAAAUCACUACUAGAGGGAUGUCAAAAGGAAGCAUGUGCAGAUUGAUCUGAUGGCUUAUCAUGUCCCAAGAAUUCAUAUCUACCAGUCUCAAAUAGCUAAUGCACAAAGGACCUAUUCUCUCUUUACAAUUCGGGUGCACUAUCUGCAAUGCAUGUUCUAAGGUUUGCUAUGCCAACUUUUUUUCCUUCUUUUGAUGGCUACUUUAUUUCUUAUUUUCCAUUCAAUUUGUUCCAAUUCUUAUUUUAUAAGUUAUGUAUUGUUGGUGCAUAUGGAAUGAGUAAAUUCACUUGCAUCAUUAUGUCUCUAUUAUUCAGGUAUGUCAGUCCACUCCCUCUUCCCACCUCGAAACUCUUUAUAGCUUAGUUCUUCACUACAAAUUUUGUAAGAACUAUAAAAGCUCAAAUUCAACUAUUGUAUUUUAGUUGUUCAAAGCAAUAAAACAGCAACUAGUUGAGUGAGCGGCUCGUACUACUUGAAGUGCUUGAUUCAAUUUAUUGUUAGGUGCCUAGACAGAGGCCUUUAUAUAUAAUUUUUAACUGAAAACAAGUAAUAUGAUGUUUAGUGUGGAUGUUCUCUUCUAUGACAAAAGAGAGUAAUAAUUUCAUGUUCUUUUGCUCUUCUUUUGUCAGGAGGAAUUAUAUUGCCUAUUGCUAGGGGAAGAAGUUGCUAGAAUCCAAUACUGUGAGAGUGUAAAUUUUGGAGUUUCUUUGUAAUUGCAUUGUAAGAUCAUCUCAUCUCUAAGUGAAAAAACUCUUGGCUACAAUUGAAGCAUUCCAUUAUGUACAUAAUGUUGUUAGCUUGAUUGAUUUGGCAGGCUUAUUUCCCAAGUUUUGUAAUCAAGUUGUUGGUUCCGAUAUCGUUGAACAUUCAUGACGUAUGGAUCUUCUAAUUUGCAGGCUCCUAUGACAUCUUUCAAACUCAACAAAGGUUCAUUCGUAUCUCAAAAAUUGUUAUAGAUUUUACUUUUUAUGCAAGAGACUUCAAAAAUUAAUUCUUGUAUGAUUUUUUGUAGGAAAAAAGAUUGAGCUACAUGAUUGACCUCAAAGCAGAGAGAAUUAAUCAUUUUGAUGAGGUAUAUAUGGUAAGCCUUCAUCAUCAAUUGUCACAUUGUUCUUUAUGAUAAUUUGUGUUUUCUUUUAGUUCAUUCUUAUACAAUUCCUUUAAUAUCGAAAUUGAAAAACAAAGUACAUAAUUUAUUGAGUUGGCUGUUGUAACAUAUAGUUAUGACAUUAUUCAUGUUCUAAAAUAAUUGAAAGCCAAUCCAAGAUGAUUGAUCUAUAUGUUCAAGAUGCUUGAAAGGAGUGUCAUGAGUCUUUUUAUGGUACCAUUUGCAUAUUAGUGUAAGAGUUAUUAUUCUUAAACUAACUUUUUUCUUCUUUUUUUAUUUGGCGG